UACAGAGGGUGCAAGCGUUGUCCGGAAUCACUGGGCGUAAAGGGCGCGUAGGCGGCCUGGUAAGUAGGGGGUGAAAUUCUGCGGCUCAACCGCAGGACGGCCUCCUAAACUGCCGGGCUUGAGCACGGUAGAGGCUGGUGGAAUUCCCGGUGUAGCGGUGGAAUGCGUAGAGAUCGGGAAGAACAUCGGUGGCGAAGGCGGCCAGCUGGGCCGUUGCUGACGCUGAGGCGCGACAGCGUGGGGAGCAAACAGGAUUAGAUACCCCAGUAGU
rnacentral:rRNA from 1 species